rnacentral:rRNA from 1 species
UACGUAGGGUGCGAGCGUUAAUCGGAAUUACUGGGCGUAAAGCGUGCGCAGGCGGUUUUGUAAGCCAGAUGUGAAAUCCCCGGGCUUAACCUGGGAAUGGCAUUUGGGACUGCAAGGCUUGAGUGCGGCAGAGGAGACUGGAAUUCCUGGUGUAGCAGUGAAAUGCGUAGAUAUCAGGAGGAACACCGAUGGCGAAGGCAGGUCUCUGGGCUGACACUGACGCUCAUGUACGAAAGCGUGGGGAGCGAACAGG